GCUGAAAAGAGUGCUUCUACUUAGGUAGUGGUUCUUUUGUCAACCACACUAGGGUGAAUCAUUAUGUGUACGGUGUACUCUACGUACGUUUGAUCAGCACAAUGGUGAAACUGUUAGAUGUGUUGGAGAGAAAUAGAUCUCACAUCAAAAAAGUGUUUAAUAAAAUAUAUCUUAUAAGUGGGUGUAUCAUACUUAAUUGUACCGAGAUCUAUUGUGAUUAAAACUCAACACUUUAAAGGUGAUUAAGUUGAGACAGUAUUAAUGCAAGAUUGAUCCACAUGCCACGUCUGUCACUGUUAAUAUAAUCUGUUAUUAAAAAAAACAUGCAAGUACCAAGUUUGAGAUAAAUUAGGGAUCGAUUGUGUGAUUUUUUUUAUUUAUUAUUAUUUUUUUUUUUAAAAAGGUUGGUGCCCUCAAGCCUCGAUUAAUGAGUUGAUUACAAAGAGACAUGAAAUAUAUUAGAUCUAUAAAAUACACAUGUACUUAGCAAGACACCAACUAUCAAAGACUAGUGCUUUCAUGAUGACUCUAUUUGUUUUUACAUAGCGGUGAUAUACGUACUGGAAAAAUCAUUAGAUUUGUAACACAUAAUACAGUUUUCUAAUUAUGUUGAUACCAGAAUAUAGAUCAGAUAACACUUAGCUACACCUUACCACUAGGUGACAACGACCAUUUGACGAAACAAGGAACUCAUUGCCUAGCUAGAACAGACAAUGCACGUUGAGUGCACCCACAUGUUAGACACAUAGCCGAACUCGCCCUACACAAACUAAUGUAGGGACUUAUAUAUUGCUUGCAAAAAGUGCAACAAAAUUAAAUAACAAGAAUAAAAAUAACAACUCUAAAACAAAAAAUAAUCAAAGAAAAGGGUCCAAGAGAAGAACGCACACCCAACGUCUUACCCAGAUCGGGACCAAAGACAACCAUACUGUCAGGACCUACCCUGGAUUUCCUCUUGAAAUCCGGAAUAAACCCUGCAGGACCCACCUCAAGGGAAAUUCUACCAAAAUUUUGGCAUAAGCUCCCUUGAAAAUGAGUAACCCUACCUGAAAGAAAAUCAUCAAAGCCCAUACACUUCUAAAACAAUUUAAUCCACAUCUUCUGGAGCCAUCCCGCUCCCCCAAUAAACAUCCACCACCUCAACUCACAUAAAAAAAAAAAUCAAAAAUACUUUCAUGAAUUUAAUCUCUCAUACAAACAUACCAAAUAUGUCUUUUUCAUCACUCCUAAGAGGAGUCAUAAGCUCUUAGCACACAACCACAAUAAAAACAAUCUUAAUAUCACUUAAAACAUCCCAUGGUUAUUCAGAGCAUCUACUAGGAAAGAAGGAAAUACAUAGGUAGGUUAACUAGUAACCUAUGAGAGAAAACUGGAUGAGGCGGGAAAUAUGACUCGCCUCCUACCCUCGCCGAACAGAACUCUGCAGACUAGGCAUUUAAAACGAAAGGCCCAGGGGAAGGCAUUUAAAACGUUAGAGUGAGUGGACAAAAUAAAUAAUAAAAAUACGGACUUAAUGAUAGAGCAUGGAAAUCAAUUUAACGCUUUUCCCAUAUUUUCUAUUGAGAAAAUAUUUAUUUUAUGCAUGCCAUUCUUGGAAAUCUUUCCGAAAAUAAUUAUAGACAAAACUAAUGAACAAAUCCCAUUGGUUCCCAAUAAAUCAAUAAGAAUAGGGAAGAGGUUUCAUCAUAACAAUGAGCCUCCCAGGCUAUAAUAGCGUCCCACGCUAAGCGCUUUACUCAUAUAUGGUGAGGACCGCUUAUAAAGUUAUAAUAGCGUCCCACGCUAAGCGCUCAACUCUCAUAUGAUGAGGACCGCUAAAUAAUGGCUAGCUAACAAUAAUAUAUAUAUAUAUAUACCGAUCGGUUGCCUCCCAGGCUAUAAUAGCGUCCCACGUUAAGCGCUCUACUCACAUAUGAUGAGAACCGCUAAUAAGACUAUAAUAGCGACUCACAUAUGAUGAGGACCGCUAAUAAGGUUAGCUAGCAAUAAUCUAUAUAUCAACCCUUUUAUGGUGAAGUACCAUAUUAAAAUAAAAUGAUCCACACUUCCCCAAAUAAAUUAUAAUAAACUCAUAGCACACAGUACAGUUCUCAACUGUACAUGGAAAUAAUAUAAAACACUUGACACGUCCCACGUGUCAACUAAAAUUAGCAAGAGUUUCGGAAAAAAAAAAGUGGAACUUGAUAAUCCAACAAAAUAUUAUAUCUCCAAAUGCCUUUGAAAUUAAAUAACUUUAGCGCAUGCAUGAUAUUAAAAUCAAAGGUCCACUCACAGUGCUCGGCUAUGCUUGCCGACGGCCCGAGGCUUCCUCCAAAUGAUCCUCCUCACGUUCUGAACAAUAAAUAAUCAUUAAGCCUCCAAACCAGGACAAAACUUUAAUAAAAUUUCCAAAAUAAAAAGGAAGCCUAUAAUUUAUUUUCUCUUGCCCAACUUCUCCACUUUUUACCUAAUAAGGCUCACAUUACUCCGUACUUACCGAAAGCCAUAAUUUAACCUUUUUAGACUUUAAAACCUGCUAAACCAACUGCCGGAUUUCCAUUCGAAUAACCGCCUAAAUCCUUUAUCAUUGAUAAAUCCCAAACCUUAUCAAAUCUCCUCCAAAAAUUCCCAACUAUACCUCAUUAAACCCCUCUCAUUAAAACAAACCCAAAAUCAUGAAAAACUGCCCCUAAGGGGCGGCGGAGCCGGCAGCCGGAUUCCGGCGAGGGCUAAUGCUUCUUAAAUUUUCACAGAAUAUUCCUCUCAUCAUGCUCAACAACAUUCAUAACUAGCACUUAGUCCAUUUCUAAGGCUAACUAGGGCAAACGAAUCAAAACUUCCAUAAAUCCCUAAAACUUCAAUUAUACAUUUCUCCAUAACAACAACAAAAUAGACUAAUUCUUUUUGAGGGAAUACUCACCUUGAUGAGGGCUACAAGAUGAGCCAAAGAUUCCGACCUAUGGUGGCCGGAGGUGGGAUUUCCGGCAAAAAGCUUUCCGGCGUCUCCGGCGAGUUUUCUCCUCUUCCGGCGGGCUAACGGCUCGGAGGCUAGGCCGGGGAGAGAGAGGAGGUGAUGGGGGUCAGAACUGGGGUGGGCUGGCAGCUAGUGGCUGGCCGGACGGCGGCAGCUGGCGUUGGAGACUUCCGGUGGGAUGGGGGCUCGGGAGAGAAGGGNNNNNNNNNNNNNNNNNNNNGGAGUGAGGGGGUGAGUGGGGGGUGUUGGGCUGCCCACACCCGGUCCAUAAAACUUAAACCCAAAAAUUAUACUCACUCAAUAUGUACCCCAUUUUACCAUCUCAUAAAAUUACUCUCUUAAUUCAUAACUUUUUCAUGCUAACUCCGAUUUUAACAUAUAGCAUGUCUACGAACUCGUAGAAACGUCCUCUACGACUUUCAUGAAGAAAGUUUUCCCAAAUUCCAAACGCAAGAAAAAGUCAACUCUAGGGUCCUUAAGUGGUAAACGGUGACUUAACGCGGUAAAAGACUAAAAUAAUACCAAAGUAAAUAACCGUAAAAUAACUUAAGAACUGGGGUGUGACACAUACACAACAUGCCAAGAUUUGGAGUGCUUGAUGUCUUUGUUCUCAGGCCAAGAAAGAAGUUUGGUCAGCCCGGCCUAACUUUCUGCUGCAGGAGCUGCCGACUGGGCCUCAACCGCCAUCACAAACCCAACUGUUGUCGCAAUCCCCCACUAUACCCCCCCCCCCAACACAAAAAAAUGUACACUAAAUAAUAACUCGUCAUUCAGAUUCGAGUCUGAUAUAUGUCAGAUCACCAUCGUCGCCCCCACCUUUCUUCCACUAAUCCAUCACCUCCACCCCUCAACCUUUGGGCCUGAUAAUUGCUCACUACACAGUCAUUCUGUCAGGCCGCCCUCCUCGUGCAUUGGCGCGGCCAUAUGCCGUCACCAACUCUAAGAUGCAGCCGGACUGGAACAAACUUCUGCAAUGAUGUACUCUAGGUUUAGGAGUGCGUGAAGCGCGUUCCCUUGGCGUGCUAGGGACAAAAACAAUAAUUUCUUUUUACAUAUAUUUUCAAAGAAACAAAAUAAGAGUUUUUUUUUUUAGGAAAAUGCCCAUUUGCACAGAAACAGGGAUAAUAAAACCAUAUCCAAUGAAAAUUUUUUCUCUUAUCCCAUUCCAAUUAUUCUUAUCAAAAAUACAACUAUGCCUUUAUUUCAUACACAGUCACCUCUCUCCUCAAGUCAUCGCUCUCCUCCCAGAUCUGAAACUAAUUCUCUCUCCCCGUCGAUGCCGCCCCACAUGCUAGCACUGCCUCUUCAUCUCCAGCUCCGACGAGGUCCCUGACGAGCGCAUCCACCAAGACCCAAGCGGCCGGGCUCGUCGUUCUCACCGACAACGUCCACAUCGGUCAAGUCCAGCGAGCUCCUCGUCGGUCAUCGUUGCGCUGCCGUCGUGGAGGAUGCUUCUCAGAGGCUUAGUACUUCGGUUUUCUUCUUCGGCUUCUCUUCCUCGAUUUCUGGUGAUUGAUGAAGGCUUCAAUAUCUCACUUCUCGCUUGGGUGCCAACAAAUCGCUCGUCGUCGUUCUCUGAGCCCUAAAAUUGAGAUCGAUGUCUAAUAAUCCUCAACCGCGAGGUAUAUCGUGAAGCGGAGAUGACCAGACAUCGGUUUUUGAGUAGGUGAUUACCUCUUCCUGCUUUUCGAGUCCUUGCCCCCGAAUUCUCCUCUCUCUCAUUGACGUCGUCGUCGAGGUUUGAUGUCGUCUCUCUCCUUCUGGUAAUAGCUUUAGUUCGACUCUAUCUCCUUCGCCGCCUUGUCGUUCAACAACCUUUGGUACCAUCGGCUGCUGGUGGAGGACGUGGAGGCAUCAAUUCAAGGAACUCGGUUUCAGGAGGAGGAGAAGCUCUAUCACCGCUGCAUGUAUGUUUUGGUUUAAAAUGCAUGUAAAGUGGUUAUAUUGUUCAAUUGUGGUCUCAUAAUUGAGUCACCGGAGGUUAGUAAUUGAGUUACUAGAGAUCAGUAACUGAUUAUUGGGGCUCAGUAACCAAGUUAUUGGGGUCAGUACCCGAUUAUUGGGGGCCAUAACUGAUUAUUGGAGGUCAAUAACCAAGUUAUUGGGGGUCAGUAACCCAAUUAUUGGGGUCAGCAACUGAUUAUUGAAGGUUAGUAACUAAGUUAUUGGGGUAAGUACCCGAUUAUUAGGGGUCAGUAAUUGAUUAUUGGGGUUAAUAACCAAGUUAUUAGGGGUCAGUAACCGAGUCACCGGUGACCGGAAUCCGGCGACCAGAGAAAUCUGGAGUCUGGUGAGAUUGCGGCCAAGUAUUCUCUCUUUCAUUUUCUCUCUCUAUGCAUGUUUAAGGGGUGAGGGCAAAAUAGUCUUAAAAUAAUAUGGUUUGUUAAGACUUUAGUAAAGAUUUGUGCAUUUGGGCAUAAAAAAAUUUACCUUAUAUUGGAAUGGGCUAAUAAAAAAGAUUGUCAUUGAAAUGAGAAAUUGGGGAUUUAAAUUAGUACUAAAUGAGCAUUUUCCUUUUUUUUUUCUUUUUUUGAAAAAAGAAAUAAAUUAUAAUAAGAAGCCUCUAGGGCAACCAACAUUUACAAUAUCAAAUAAUGAGGCUCUCGAAGCCUCACGAUGAACUCUAUCAAUCUAAUAUAGAGGUGAAUUACAAAAAUAUCUAAGAUUAAUUAUAGCAUCAGCAACAACAAGAUAAGGGAUUGUGUACUGCUUCAAGAAUGGUUUGCUCACGUACUAUUAUUGGCGAUUACAAUUAUUGACGACGAUAACCGGUUAAGGACUACAACAUUAUUGAGCUACCGACUACAGGGUCUAUGGAACUUUCCUAGUACCGAAGGGAAGCAACAAAGACUUGACUUAAAGGAAUCGACCACG
rnacentral:lncRNA from 1 species